rnacentral:rRNA from 1 species
ACUCCUACGGGAGGCAGCAGUGGGGAAUUUUGCGCAAUGGGCGAAAGCCUGACGCAGCAACGCCGCGUGGGUGAUGAAGGUCUUCGGACUGUAAAACCCUGUCGUCAGGGACGAAGGUAGUUCGGUUAACAGCCGAAUUGCUUGACGGUACCUGGAGAGGAAGCCCCGGCUAACUCUGUGCCAGCAGCCGCGGUAAUACAGAGGGGGCAAGCGUUAUUCGGAAUUAUUGGGCGUAAAGGGCGCGUAGGCGGUCUUUUAAGUCAGAUGUGUAAUCCCCGAGCUCAACUUGGGAACUGCAUCUGAGACUGGAAGGCUAGAGUACUGGAGAGGGUGGUGGAAUUCCUCGUGUAGCGGUGAAAUGCGUAGAGAUGAGGUGGAACACCAGUGGCGAAGGCGGCCACCUGGACAGUAACUGACGCUGAGGCGCGAAAGUGUGGGUAGCAAACAGGAUUAGAUACCCUGGUAGUCCACGCUGUAAACGAUGAACACUUGGUGUGGAGGGAGUUGACCCCUUCCGUGCCGGAGCUAACGCGUUAAGUGUUCCGCCUGGGGAGUACGGUCGCAAGGCUGAAACUCAAAUGAAUUGACGG